ensembl:lncRNA
GUAGACUCUGGUUGGACCAUUCUCCACAGGCAACGCUUCUCAUGCCAUGUCCCUUUGUGGGCCAGUGACCAGCCUCUUUUUGUUCCCUCAGCUGUGGACAACAGGGGAGCCAUGGGAUGCAUGGCAUGGGCACCUGGGGCCACCCAUAUGUGGGAGAUGUUUCCCUUUGCAGGUGCUACGGGACUGGCAGGUACCAGUAGCAAACCACACAGUGAUGCAGACCAGCCAUGCCUGCUGCCCACAUGCUCAGAGGUGUGGGCCACUGGCAAGCAUGUUCAUCCGUUCUCAGCACCCGCCACCCCAGGAGCCAGCCUGCAUAGCCAGGCACGCGGUGAGCCCUCUGUCAACAUCCCGUGACUGCAUUAUUAUGAUGAAGCCUGCCCUAGUGCACGUAUUAGGCUGGAAGGCAAGUAGAUGAAUCCAAAAUUGGGAAGAAGUGAAAAGCCAGAGGCAGCAGGGGCUUGGGGCAUUUGCCCUCAAAACGGCUGAGACCUCAACAGCCCCAGAGCCGGGUGAGCCUGAGAAAUGGACAUACAUUGAGGGAAGAGAAAAAGCCGAGAGAAAAGCGGUUUGAACGGGGGGUGAUGUCACCGGUUACACGCGUGGUUUCUGAUGGUUUAACGCGGGCCCUGGAGAUAUUUGCAGAACCUGCUCUCAAAUGCCAGCUUCUUGCUGGCGAUGUCACCGCCCAUCCCGGUUCACGGGGGCAGGUGACGAUGUCUCACACUCCUCAGCAUGCACGCCCGCGUGAAUCAGGGCUUGGGGGAGUGGGAACUCGGACCAGAAUAUCUUGGUAUUUAGUAACACAGGAAAGGACACGGAUGGGAAGCUGCCGCUAAAUGCCUAGCGAGAGCCGCUCACGGGGGGCUGAGGGGAUGUUGUUAAGUAAAUUCCACGCAGCUACCCCAUGAACCCUUUGAAACUGGCCGUGGAGGAGCUCGCUUGGUGAUGGUCAGGGCACACCUCGGAGGCUUCUCAGGGGGCAGGAGGGUGGGGACGGGCUCUGGGCUGCCACUGGGGAGACUGUAGUUAUCUGGGGGUGUCGUCAAUGUGGGUUUGGUGGAAAGUGCCUGUGGGGAGAUGACUCCAGGAAGAGCCCGGGAAGCAGCUGUGGACCUCUGGCAGGUCGGUGUCCUGGGUUCUCUGCUUCUGUGUUGUGUCCUAGGAAAGCAGGGGUGACGUGGAGCAUAUCCCACCGCCGGCUGCGGCACCAGAGCCAGCCCAGGAGCCUCCCUUCUCCAAGAGGGGCUUGGAGGGGAGCCGUGGGACCCCACAAAGACCAUCCCGCUGGCUGGCCGCAGAGGAGUCGUGAGGUUUCAUCUCGCAUCCAGAGCCAAUCACGCCACGGCAGGGCCGCCUCGGGAACAAGCUCUUUGUCCUGGGCCCAAACCCCCCACAACUGGUGCCAAUCUCCCUUCUCUACUCCUGACGCGCCGGGUGAGCUGAUGACCAAGCCGGUGGAGGUGACUGGGUGGCCACUGAGCCCUCAUCCAGUCCCCAGAGCCAGCAUGAGAGGGCAGCUGGUUCUUGGGGCAUUAAACCCUUCAAGAGGACCCAGAUAUCAUCAGGUGAGGAAUGUCUCACCUAUGGAGGUGUUUAAAGCUGAGUCCAUGCAUCUCACAAUUCCUCAUCUCCCUUCACUGACUGUUCACAUUUUGCCACAUUUGUGCACCUGCCUGCUCUUGCCUUCUCUCUCUCUCUCUCUCUCCCCCCACACACCCCUGCCCUGCCAAACCCUUGCAGGCAGGCUGAAGCCACCAUAGCACUUCCCCGUCACACUUUGGGCUGUGCCUGCUGAGAACAUGGUGCACUCCUACAGAGAGGUUCUGUCAUCCACCCCAGAAAACAGACACCGAUGCCACCAUCGAAUAUUCAGUCCACGUCCCAAUUUCUCCAGUGCUGGGACUGUGCCUCAGGCUGCCCUGCCCGGCAACUCUGAUUAUCGGCUAUUCCACGUCUCCAUUCCUUCAGUCCACAAACACUUAUUGAGCACUUACUGUUUGCCACGUCCUGUUCUAGGUGCACGGGACACAGUGAACAAGGCAGAUCAGGCCUUGCUCCCUGGGUCCCCUGCUAGCGGGGAGAGGAAGUCACCGGGAGAAGCUGGAGUCAUUGCAGAGGGUGCCAGGGUGUCAGGAUGGUGAUUGGAGUCAGGCCCCAGCGUGUGGUGGGAUUUGGAGGUUGCGGGUGAGCUGGGACCUGGGUGACGAGCCGGAGCUGACCACGCAUCUUUGCGUCCGAGUCCCAGGCUGUUCCCUCCCUGGCUCCCUCACUCACUGUCUGGGUAGUGGCGGUGCCCCAGGUGCCCAGUGCUGUGCCAGGAGUGAGGGAUGGGGGAGUGUGUUGCGGUUACCCCAGGCUGCGCUGCUGUGGGUGCAGGGCCUGUGGGGCCGACCGCUUGGCUCUCCGCAUGCAGGCGUCCAGGUGGAGCGGCUCUCAGGCGAGGAGCUGACCCAGGAACGGUCCCGGGGAGCUCGUCCUCACCUGGAUGAGAUCCCGGACUCAGAACAGAGGCUGCAACGGGUUGAGACUUUUGGGGUCUGCUGGGAGGGGGAGCGAGGAUAUUUUGCACAGGGAAGAAAUGCAGGACUCGGUGGCCAGAGGGCAGAGGGUGACACUUUGAAAUGUGUCCUCAAAUCCUUGGGCCUGCUCAUCAAACAGUGGGGCCUUAAUGCAGCACUUCCCCUGAAUGUGGGCCAGACUUGGUGACUCGCUUCUGACAAACAGAAAAGGAGCAGAGUGACGGCAGACACGCGAGACUAG